rnacentral:rRNA from 1 species
GAUGAACGCUGGCGGCGUGCCUUAUACAUGCAAGUCGAACGAUCAGACGCCUUGCUUGCUCCUCUGAUGUUAGCCGCGGAAGUGUGACAAACACAUGGAUAACCUCCUUAUAAGACAGGGAUAACAACCGUAAACAAGAGCUAAUACCGGAUAAUAUAUUAAACCGGAUGGUUCAAUAGUUUACGCGGGCUGUGCUGUCAAUGAUAGAUGGAUUCGCGGCAGAUUAGCUAGUUGGUAAGGUAACGGCUUACCAAGGCAACGAUGUGUAGCAGGCCUGAGAGGGUGAUCGGCCACACUGGGACUGAGACACGGUCCAGACUCCUACGGGAGGCAGCAGUGGGGAAUUUUGGGCAAUGGGCGCAAGCCUGAUCCAGCAAUGCCGCGUGAAUGAUGAAGGUCUUCGGAUCGUAAAAUGCUGUUAUACGGAACGAAAAGCUUUGUAAUAAUCUAUGCGGGUCUUGACGGUACCGAAAGAAUAAGCACCGGCUAACUACGUG